GGUUCUAGAGGAAGGAAGUUAAAGACAGCAAUCAUUUUACAGAAAAAUCGUCCCAGCGGUGGAAAUCCGAGGUAGGAAGGGACACCUCUGCUCCUGGUACCUCUGGACACUCCAGAUGUCCACUCUAUGAGGUGACAUAUCUGUGUGAAAGUAGCCCAUGAGAGAGUGCCAAGGCCAUGGGACAGAGGCCCCAGCAUGUGAGCUCAAACGAGGCAGCAUGGGUCUGAAAGGGUCCUUCUUGAGAUGUGAAAUCUUGGAGCCACAGCCUGAAGGAGCUCGCCUGGUUGAAUAAAGAAAUCACUCAACAAAGGACGCUCCUUCUCCAGCCUGAAGAGGCGCUGACGCCACCUACAGCCUGGAGACCGGCUCUGCAACCAGCACCUGCCAGCCAGUCUGGUGCUGGGGGGAAGAGAUUAGAAUUUAUAUGGGGCAUGGAGAACGGGCAGUCAACUCUCAAGGUGAAUACUUUCCCUGAUAAAUUGUAAACCAUUAAAAACAUGUUUAAAAAUUAUUUUGACUAAUGAGUUUUUGAAGAUUGUAGCAGUUGGAUUAAAAUUUGUGAACUACAUUUCUUAUAUAAAUAUAUUUUUUCUAGUGAGCACCUUCUAGGAUAUGGUCACAUCUUGUGUGUGUGUGUGUGUGUGUGUGUGUAGCAACCUCAAACAUUCAACCCAAAUCCAGAUUAGGUUAGUGGGUACAUGCUUAUCCACAUA
rnacentral:lncRNA from 1 species